GGCGCACGGGUGCGUAACGCGUAUGCAACCUACCUUUUACUGGGGGAUAGCCCGGAGAAAUUCGGAUUAAUACCCCAUAGUAUCUAUUAAUGGCAUCAUUUGAUAGAUUAAAGUUUCGGCGGUAAAAGAUGGGCAUGCGUCCUAUUAGCUAGAUGGUAAGGUAACGGCUUACCAUGGCUACGAUAGGUAGGGGGCCUGAGAGGGUAGUCCCCCACACUGGUACUGAGACACGGACCAGACUCCUACGGGAGGCAGCAGUGAGGAAUAUUGGUCAAUGGACGCAAGUCUGAACCAGCCAUGCCGCGUGCAGGAAGAAUGCCCUAUGGGUUGUAAACUGCUUUUAUUUAGGAAGAAACCCCCUGACGUGUCGGGGGCUGACGGUACUAAACGAAUAAGGACCGGCUAACUCCGUGCCAGCAGCCGCGGUAAUACGGAGGGUCCAAGCGUUAUCCGGAAUCAUUGGGUUUAAAGGGUCCGCAGGCGGGCUGAUAAGUCAGUGGUGAAAUCUCUCAGCUUAACUGGGAAACUGCCAUUGAUACUGUUAGUCUUGAAUUCGGUCGAAGUAGGCGGAAUGUGUCAUGUAGCGGUGAAAUGCAUAGAUAUGACACAGAACACCGAUAGCGAAGGCAGCUUACUAGGCCUGAAUUGACGCUCAUGGACGAAAGCGUGGGGAGCAAACAGGAUUAGAUACCCUGGUAGUCCACGCCGUAAACGAUGAUUACUCGAUAUCAGCGAUAUACUGUUGGUGUCUAAGCGAAAGUGAUAAGUAAUCCACCUGGGGAGUACGAUCGCAAGGUUGAAA
rnacentral:rRNA from 1 species